UCUGAGAAGCCUGACAACUCGCUCCCCCAUCACCCGGGGAAUUCUUGUCAUCCCUUACGUCACAGCCUAAAUGUCCCUUCCUUGGGGAAACUCUCUCUGACAUCCCCCACCGCACCCCAUCCUCCCCACUCCAAUGCAGCAUCUUGUGCAUCUCUGUAGCACUAAUCACAGUGGCAUUUAAUGAGUUGUUUCUGCAAUGGUUUGCUCUCUCCCCACUCAUGCAUAUGCUCCUCAAGGGAUGGCAACAUGUCUCUAUUGUUUACCACCCUGUCCUGAAUGCAGGGGCCCUGACUCAGAGAAGACUCCGGGUAAUUAUUUACCAUUUGAAGAAUGAAUGGCUUCCUAAGUUUGUGCACCUAGAGCUCUCUGGCCUUCAGCUGCUUCAUCUGUAAGUAGGCGGAGCCUUAGGUCCCCAGGACUAGCUCACUCUUAAGAUGACUUCUCAUUCUUAGGUCCUAGAAAAUGCUUUUUAAAAUUCCAUCUUCCUUUCCCAAAUGGAAACAACAAUGUCAUACCAAUCAGGUUGGAAAAAAAAUGAGAAAUUUGGAUAAUGCCAUGUGCUGAGUACCAGUGUCCUCGAAGAAACCUGUCAGUAUUCAGGGAAAUGAAGUACUGCACGCCUUCUGACCCCACCAUCCCACUCCUGGGGAGACUCCGGGGAAACACUCACGUGGUCCCAGUGGGUCACCCACAUGGUGGGGCAUCGGAGGCAAUCUAGUGUCCACCCCUGGAACAGCGGACAUCUCUAGAGAAACUCUGCAGCAGUCAGAAACAUCGAAUGAGAUAAUGCACAGCAACUCAGGUGAAUGUAAUGACUGAUUAACGAACGAAGACUCCACCUUCUCUUCCUCUCGUGGAUCCCAGCGAACUUCCAGGGCAUGGGUUGGCAUAGGUUUGAAGAAGGUUUCUCGGCCUCUGCACUGUCUACAUUUUGGGCCCGCUGAGUCUUUGUAGUUGGGGCUGGCCUGUGCAUUGUAGGAUGUUUAGCAGUUUCCCUGGUGUCCACCUACCAGAUGCCAGUUGCACCUACCAAGUUCUGACACCCAAAAUGUCUUCAGACAUCGCCAAAUGUCCCCUGGGGGACAAAAAUCACCCCUGGUUGAGAACCACUGGGUUGGAAUACAAGCCUGAAAAACCGCUCCCAGUCUGCCAGAAGGUCAAGACCACAGUGACCUCUGGACUCCAGCCCCUGGCUAAGAAUGCAAUCUACCUGUCCAUGGGCCAGUGUGACUCAAGAUGUCAAGGGAUGGUGAUCACUGAGAGACCAAAGAUUUCCUCUGAAUUUGCCUGGAUUUUCA